CGACUCUGGUUUCUCUUCAUUACGCUAAACUUUCGCCUUUUACUAAAGACUUCCGUGGAGAGGAACACUUACAGUUCAACGUAUUUUUGGAAGGGCUUUGCUUCUGGCAGAGCC
rnacentral:snRNA from 1 species